rnacentral:tRNA from 1 species
CCUUGUAUAUCUAAUAUUAAGAGCUGGGUUCUUACCUCAGUAAUGUGUUUAUCACUACAGGGU